rnacentral:ribozyme from 1 species
GGCCGACAAAAUCCUAUCUCUACAUCCUCGGGGUGUCGGUCGGAACAUGUCGUUUUAUCUGCAUAUACUAACAGAGAAGG